rnacentral:pre_miRNA from 1 species
AAAGACUCAAUUCCUGGGUUUUGGUGUUCAACGUUUGAUCGCCAGUCAUGUAUAAAAUUUUUUUUAUGAUUAGUAUUUUUAUUAUUGUAGAUAAUAAAACAUGAAUAAUAUUUUAUGCAUGACUUAUCCUUUUAAUUUUUUUUAUAAAUUUUUUAAAUAAGAUGAAUGGUCAAACGUUAGACACAGAAACUCAGG